AAAGCCUUCCAGUGGCCUGGACUGGAGUCUUUGUCGGGCUGAUUAUGGUUCCCGGCCCUUAUGUUUAAUACACCUGAUAUAACAUGUUUAGAUUCUAGAGAAUUAAUAUUAUGGUGCAGUAAUGUCUCCUUUUAUUUUGAAAGGUUUAAAGGGAAGCUGGCUGCUACUGCUGUUCAGCAUCAAUUAACCCGGUUAGCGCUCAUAUUUUAUCUAAAUUAAGUCCUUUAACAGUCAAAGUUUCCUGUCUGACAUGGACUAACACCCCAUAUUAGGCUGGUUUUUACUGGAUGGGGAUGUUCGACUGUUUGUUGGCGUUUAACAGCCACCUUCAGCUGAUUCAACUGCUCUGUCCUGUGGCUCCUUCCUGGAUACACGAGCGGCAUAUUUUUUUGUUGUUUAAACCGAUUAAAGUUCACCAACGGUGAGACUGCCUCAGGUCCGCCUGCUCGGACACACCCACGGACAGACAGCUGGGUUAAAACGAGGCUGAACAUGUUAGCAGAAGUUAACGUGAAGCCCGUGAACAGAGGAACAAUGAUCAGUGAGGUCAGCGCGUACAGCAGGCCGCCAAUGAGGGAACUUCACCCAGAAGUGAUUUCCUCAAAUAUCACAACAUGGCACCGGCUUCCGGAUUGUACGUGCAGAAUCACGUGACCUCGGCAAGCACAAGUUUGAAGCUUGGCUUUCAAAGUAAGACGUAGAAAUUUAUAACAUUGAUAACAGAAAAGCAAUUAAAAGGAAGUUCUAAAAAGGGAGUUAUGUUUUUUAUUCUUUUGUUUAAAAAAACGAAAUUGGGUCACGGAAAAGUAGUUCAUAAGGCAAAAACAGUGUUUGUAUCAUUUUGAUGAGCUUGAAAGUCAAUAUUUGUCUUUAUUCUUCAGCACAGCCUGAACUCUUAGACAAGGUUUCUUGUAAUUUCUUUAAGUAGUCUUCAGGAGUAGUUCUCCAGGCUUCUUGAAGGACAUUCAGAGUUCUUCCUUGGAUGUUAGCCUUUAGAUGAUCCCACACUGCUUCAAUAAUAUUGACGUCCUGGCUCUGUUGAAGCCUAUCCAUGACUCAUAAUGUUUCAUUGUGCACUGGCAGUGUGUUUGCCAUUAUUGCCAUGCUGAAAAAUUAAGAUUUUGCCUAUCAUUUUUCCAGAUGGUAUUGCAUGAUGGAUCAAAAUCUGAUGGUAACUUUCAAGAUUCUUUAUUUUUCACAUGCAUAGUUACACGAGUACAACACGCACUGAAAUAUAUCCGUGUUCUCCAACACCAAAUGCAACCCCGAACCAUGACAGAGCCUAUGUUUUUACAGAUGGCUGUAAACACUCACUAAUGGGCCUCUCUCCUGAGUUCUUCUGUACAUUUUGACAAUUUGAACCUGAAAUUUUACAUUUGGAUUCAUCACUCCAUAAAUCCUGUUGUCACUGAGUUUAAGUUAAGUUCUUGUGUAGUUUGGAAUAGCUCAGCCUUUUUCCUGUUUCCUUUCCUUAAUAGUAGCCUCUUGACAACUUAAUGAGGCUUCAGUGAACAGUAGAUGCAUCACCUGAAGGUUCAGAUGCAUCUGUCAGGUCUUUGUUGGAUUUUUUUUUAGGGCAUGACUUUCAGACACUGUUAAUCUGCUGUAGAUAGUUGGGGUUUUUUUUAGUUCUGGCACUUCUUUUGUAUUCACUUGUCCAGUUUCCUCAGGUUCUUUUAGGGGUACACUGUAGGGCAUGUCAAGAUCUCUGCAGACCACUCACAUCCCGGACACAAACUGUUCAAGCUGCUGCCUUCAGCCAGGUGCUACAGAGCUCGGUUUACUAAAACCAGCUGCCACAGAGUUUCUGUCCCUGGGCUGUCACUCUGAUGAACACUGUAACCCACUGUUAUAUCAUUCAGGUCAUAUGCACAUUGCACUAUCCAGUUUGCACUGGUUCAUGCUGGUUGCACUAAUUUCAGCCUAUUUAGAUCUGUCAUUCACGCCCAGUUGUAGUUUGAUAUAAGUUGUACAGUUUAAGAAACAUGUCAAACUGUUAAAUUUGGUAUUUUUAACUGAUUUGGCUGAAGAAAUGAAAACCAGUGAUGCGUUUCUUUGAAGACCGAAAUCCUCUUUAAGCAAUUAAAAAAGAAGAAGAAGAAGUGGACACUGCUGCAUCAGCAAGGUUCGAUGGGUUUCUGAUGGCUUGAUUCUGACAUUCAGGAUGAACUCGGAAAACUGCUGUCUGCUUCCAAAUUACAUUCUGUACAAAAAGCAACCCUGAGUCUCAUCAGCGGGUUGGCCACUCCGCAGCCUCUCACCGUUAGCCUGUGGUCCGCCCCUCCAAACGCAAUCGCUCCUAACACAACUGUGCUCCCUUCCUCAUCGAGUCAGAGGACCCUCGGGUGGGUGACUCAAACAUAAACAAACACACACACACACACACA